GAUGAACGCUAGCGACAGGCUUAACACAUGCAAGUCGAGGGGCAGCGGGUAGAUGAGCUUGCUCAUUUAUGCCGGCGACCGGCGCACGGGUGAGUAACACGUAUGCAACCUGCCCGUCUCAGGGGGAUAAUCGUCGGAAACGGCGUCUAAUACCCCGUAUGAAGCUGGACGGCAUCGUCUGGUUUUGAAAGAAUAUCGGAGACGGAUGGGCAUGCGGCGCAUUAGCUAGUUGGCGGGGUAACGGCCCACCAAGGCGACGAUGCGUAGGGGUUCUGAGAGGAAGGUCCCCCACACUGGUACUGAGACACGGACCAG
rnacentral:rRNA from 1 species